UCUUGUCAUCAUUAAGGAAGUUUAUUUCUCCCCCGUCAGUCAGUGUCAUGAAUAAAGAGAUGUGAGAUGUUGAUAGAGAGAGGAAUGUGACCCGGGUGUGUUUAAACUCUUCCCUGUCAUCAGACUCUCAGACUCACAGGCGGCACUGAGAAGGGAAGAAGAGUUUCCUCUCGUUUUUAUUUUGCUUCUAAUGUUUUUCACAUCAUAAACUGGUAAAGCAGUGAAUUCUAAUUGCCUAAUGAUCAACUGCUCCUAUCAUGGAUUACACUGCCAAUCUCGGCCGCUGCCUGCUGUUCUUCUUCAUUGCCGUCUUCCUGGAUGCAGCAGGCCUCAUCCUCUUCCUCGUCGGGGUCUUUGCUCCCUUCACUUUCUGGGAUUUCCUCGUCUUCUCGGGGCCCCUCCUCAUCUUCAUCAGCCUGAUUUUCUGGAUCUUCUGGUACCUGGGAAACUUGGAGGUGCCGAUGCAGGAGUUGCUUCCCAGCUGAGAUUUACAGCUUCUUUUGCGAUGCCAAACCAUUUUCUGGCAACUUGGACUGGAAAGCGAAAACAAAGCCGGAGCUACAGGGAGAAAUAUUUCAGAUUCUACUCAAAACAAGACACAGCGGCACCUUAAAGUGGAGCACAAACAUGGACAUGUUUAUAUGCUGAACACGCCAGAUUCUGGUGCGGGGCUGGAGACUUCGUGUUUUGUCUUAAUUUUUAAAUGUGAAUAAUUUCAUUAAUACUCACUUCAUUUAUUUAUUCUGCAUGAAGUUGAUGAAUGCCAAAUAACAAUGACUAAACAAAUAUGAAAUCAAUGUCAAUUGCUAUAUUUAACUGCAAAUAUCUUUUGCAUCUGUGAAUAGAUGAUAAAUCUACAGGCCUCUGGAUACAGACAUUUAAAAGGAACCUCAGCACCUGUUACAUAAGAGCGAGACAACACCUGGACAGGAAAACGUUUGUGUUCAUGUUGUCUCUUUUUCAUCAUCGUGUUGGCCUUCUGUGUCUUCCUGGUAGAUUUGUUCCUCACUGCACUUGUUUCAUUGACAUUACAAUAAUGUAAAUAUUCUGCUUCCAACCCUGUUACCUUUUGAAUCUGGUAGCGUGGGCCUCAGAUACCCCCGGGCCAUGCCUGUCCACCCCUCUGGUCCUCAUCAUGAGGAUUCUGUGUUUACAUUUUGUUGUUUAACUUGAGAAACUUUGUUUAUUCUGUCAAAUUAUGUGACAUUUUAACCUUUUUUUUUUUUUUACUGAUGUUUUACUCUGACCUUUAAAAUCAGGAACUAGAAUUUGUCCCAUUUGUCCAUUUCCACUCCAUUUACAUCCCGACGAUGCUGCUGCUCAUUAUUUGCGCCCUUUCUUGUUAUUGAUUUCCCUCUAAGCCCAUUGUUCCUGACCAGUCUCUAUGGUGUUUUUCCUGUUGUGAAAUCUGAGUAUUGGUCGCUCAGCCCAUUCAACAGAAACCAGUCCGACUGGGUCACUUAGCGACUGGUGCUAAGAGGGUCCUCUCAUUUUACAAGAAUGGGAGAAGAACUUCCCCACAUGAAACAUUAUAACAUCACAAAGAAAUACAAUGCAACUAGAUUUGUGCAAGUUGUUUGUCUAGACGUAGCCGUUAUUUAUGUGCUUUUGUUCAAACUUAACAACAGGUAUGUGGUGCAACUUGUUUCACCACAUAGGGUGGACACACCCUAUUUACAGUGCGGCUGGUAUUCAAGCUUAACACCAGAAUGAUCCUCGAGUUUAGAAAUGCAGAUCACUAGAGUGGAGCUUCAUAAACUAGAGAAAACAAGAAAUUUAAACAUAAUGGAUUUCAAAAUGUAGCUACACAUCUUUGCUCAAACCAUAUUUAAUCUGUUUAAUAAACUUGUGGUUUAAAAGAGAGAGCCCACACAAUCCAAGCCGUAUUUGGAAAUGUCUCUGCUGUGCAUCGCCACAUAAUGUAACCCGGCGGGUGUUGCUCAGAAGUCUCCAGGAGAAUCGACAUGUGAUUCUGAGGUGUCACAAUGUCUCUGUCCAUGUUGUCUCCGAGGCUUCAGUUUCCUCACCUCACACCUCAUGUGCCUUUCCAUUACCUGUUGUACAGUUCACAGCCAGGACGCACACACACACACACACACAAACGCAUCAAUGCCUGCCCUGGGUCAACUGAACAUGACACUCUACUCAGCGCGCUGGUGACAAAGGGGACAGGGAUUAAGUUCGCUGAGGCCUGUCGGUGUAAUGUUUGCUUGUUGUCAGUCCUGCCAGCACUUCACACUGCGGCAGGGCAGUGUUUAAUGUGAUGCUAUUUCACAGAAAUGUCAAGUGUGCCAGAGGUAUAAGGGAUAUUUGACUUAAGUGAAAGUAGAAAUACCAGUUGACCUCCUUGUCAAGUGCUGUGAAAAAAUAUUCCCCUCAUCUUUCAGAUUACUUAUUUUCUUCUGCUUAUUUGUCACUUUCAAAUGUUUCAGAUCAUCCAACUCAUUUUAAUAUUAAGAUAAAGACGAAGUCAAUCAAGACAAAUUGAGCUUUUAGCUGAGUUUAAAAGAGUUAUUCAAAAACCUAAAUAUGUGAAAAAGCAUUUGCCCCUGAAACCUAAUAACUGUGAUUAAAGAUUGUAAAAACUU